AGUCAUAUGCUUGUCUCAAAGAUUAAUCCAUGCAUGUGUAAGUAUAAGUAUUGUACAGCGAAACUGCGAAUGGCUCAUUACAUCAGUUAUUAUUUAUUUGAUAAUCGAAAGUUACAUGGAUAACCGUGACAAAUUACAGCUAAUACAUGCAUUCAGACCUGGUCCAAGGGUCGUAAUUAUUAGUAUUAAACCAUUUCCGAAAGGAGUGUGAUGAAUCAUAAUAAUCGAACGAAUCGCCUGGUGUGCGAUAAAUCAUUCAAGUUUCUGCCCUAUCAGCUUUGGAUGGUAGUGUAUUGGACUACCAUGGCAGUCACGGGUAACGGAGAAUUAGGGUUCGAUUCCGGAGAGGGAGCCUGAGAAACGGCUACCACAUCUACGGAAGGCAGCAGGAGCGAAAAUUGCCCAAUCCCGACACGGGGAGGCAGUGACAAGAAAUAACAACUCUAGGUUAUUCUUAGAAGUGUAAUGAGGAUAAUUUACAACCCUUACCGAAAGCAAUUGGAGGGCAAGUCUGGUGCCAGCAGCCGCGGUAAUUCCAGCUCCAAUAGCGUAUAUUAAAGUUGUUGCAGUUAAAAAGCUCGUAGUUGAAGUUCUGGCUGCUCGAUCCUCGAGCUCUGUAGCCGAGGAAUCGACAGUCAUCCGCUUGCAAAUAUAUGUUCGCCUUUAACCGGGCGGCUAUAUGAGUAAGCAUUUUACCUUGAGAAAAACAGAGUGUUCCAGGCAGGUUUGUCCGGAAUGCAUUAGCAUGGAAUAAUAGAAUAUGACUGAAGUCUAUUUAUUGGUUUAAGGCUUUAGUAAUGAUUAAUAGGAACAGUCGGGGGCAUUGGUACUUGUCAGUCAGAGGUGAAAUUCUAGGAUUUGACAAAGACUAACAAAUGCGAAAGCAUUUGCCAAGGAUGUUUUCAUUAAUCAAGAACGAAAGUUAGGGGAUCAAAGACGAUCAGAUACCGUCCUAGUCUUAACUAUAAACUAUACCGACUCGGAUUCAGAUGAAUCAAAAAGUUCAUUUGGGACCGUAGGAGAAAUCAAAGUUUUUGGGUUCUGGGGGAAGUAUGGUCGCAAGGCUGAAACUUAAAGGAAUUGACGGUUUUGCACCACCAUGGAGUGGAGUCUGCGGCUUAAUUUGACAACACUGGGAAACUCAUCAGGGCAAGAAGAUUUUAGGAUUGACAGAUUGAGAGUUCUUUCUUGAUUGGUCUAGUGGUGGUGCAUGGCCGUUCUUAGUUGGUGGAGUGAUUUGUCUGGUUAAUUCCGUUAACGAACGAGACCUUAACCUGCUAACUAGUACACCGAUGACAAAUCGGUGUUACUUCUUAGAGGGACUAUGUGAUGUAAUCACAUGGAAGUUUGAGGCAAUAACAGGUCUGUGAUGCCCUUAGAUGUCCUGAGCUGCACGCGUACUACAAUGGUGCUUUCAACGAGCUUUUCCUGAUCCGAAAGGAUUUGGGUAAUCUUUUUAGUGAGCACCGUGCUUGGGAUUGAUCUUUGUAAUUAUGGAUCAUGAACUAGGAAUUCCUAGUAAGCGCUGGUCAUCAGCCAGUGCUGAUUAC
rnacentral:rRNA from 1 species